AAGACUAUACUUUCAGGGAUCAUUUCUAUAGUUUGUUAAAAGUUUCUUAAAUUUCAAAAACUUCAAGUUCAGAAGU
rnacentral:snoRNA from 1 species